UAGGGAAUCUUCCGCAAUGGACGAAAGUCUGACGGAGCAACGCCGCGUGAGUGAAGAAGGAUUUCGGUUCGUAAAACUCUGUUGUUAGGGAAGAAAAAAUGUAUAGUAACUAUAUACAAAAGAGACGGUACUUAACCAGAAAGGGACGGCUAACUACGUGCCAGCAGCCGCGGUAAUACGUAGGUCCCGAGCGUUGUCCGGAUUUAUUGGGCGUAAAGCGAGCGCAGGCGGUUAGAAAAGUCUGAAGUGAAAGGCAGUGGCUCAACCAUUGUAGGCUUUGGAAACUGUUUAACUUGAGUGCAGAAGGGGAGAGUGGAAUUCCAUGUGUAGCGGUGAAAUGCGUAGAUAUAUGGAGGAACACCGGUGGCGAAAGCGGCUCUCUGGUCUGUAACUGACGCUGAGGCUCGAAAGCGUGGGGAGCGAACAGG
rnacentral:rRNA from 1 species